AUGAGAUAUCCCAUCCUUUUAAAGGAGUAAAAACCCUUGAAGAGUACGAGGUAGAUAGGGCAGAGGUGGAAGUGUGGUAACACAUGGAGCUGACUGUUACUAAUCGUUUGAGGGCUUGACCAAAA
rnacentral:rRNA from 1 species